rnacentral:rRNA from 1 species
UACGUAGGGUCCGAGCGUUAAUCGGAAUUACUGGGCGUAAAGCGUGCGCAGGCGGUUUUGUAAGCCAGAUGUGAAAGCCCCGGGCUUAACCUGGGAAUGGCAUUUGGGACUGCAAGGCUGGAGUACGGCAGAGGGAGGUGGAAUUCCAGGUGUAGCAGUGAAAUGCGUAGAGAUGCGGAGGAACACCGAUGGCGAAGGCAGCCCCCUGGGCUAGCACUGACGCUCAGGCACGAAAGCGUGGGGAGCAAACAGG